rnacentral:misc_RNA from 1 species
UGGCUCUCGCAUCGAUGAAGAACGCAGCGAAAUGUGAUACGUAGUGUGAAUUGCAGAAUUCAGUGAAUCAUCGAAUCUUUGAACGCACCUUGCGCUCCCUGGUAUUCCGGAGAGCAUGCCUGUUUGAGUGUCGUGUAAUCUCUCAAUCGGACUCCCGUCUUUUGCUCACGCGGAAGCGGGUCCAAGUUGGAUUGGAUCUUGGCUGUUUUUGCCGUCUAGCAACAGACAGCUCGGCCGAAAUGUAGACAAGUGACGAUCGCCCUUGUGUGGAUCCGGCUUGACCCUGGCGUUGUAAACAUCCUCGUCGGGUUACGGUCCUCGCGAACGGUCCACGGCACUUUGAAAUCUUCACACAUUCGAAAGUUGGGAGUGAUCCCUCUCUCGAGCACUUUUGACCUCAGAUCAGGCAGGACUACCCGCUGA